rnacentral:rRNA from 1 species
UACAGAGGGUGCGAGCGUUGUCCGGAAUCACUGGGCGUAAAGGGCGCGUAGGCGGCUCGGUCAGCGUGCGGUGAAAGCCCGGGGCUCAACCCCGGGUCGGCCGUGCGAACUGCUGGGCUGGAGCACUGUAGAGGCAGGUGGAAUUCCGGGUGUAGCGGUGGAAUGCGUAGAGAUCCGGAAGAACACCGGUGGCGAAGGCGGC